ACGGAGGGUGCGAGCGUUAUUCGGAAUUACUGGGCGUAAAGCGCGUGUAGGCGGGGGGACAAGUCUGAUGUGAAAGCCUUGGGCUUAACCUGGGAAGCGCAUUGGAAACUGUUUUUCUUGAGUACUGGAGAGGAAGGGGGAAUUCCCGGUGUAGCGGUGAAAUGCGUAGAGAUCGGGAGGAAUACCGGUGGCGUAGGCACCCUUCUGGACGGAAACUGACGCUGAUGCGCGAAAGCGUGGGGAGCAAACAG
rnacentral:rRNA from 1 species